GCUGGGCGGGAGCGCUCCCGCGGCGCCGUGGGGCCUGCGGGACCCGGUGAGCGCCCGGGGAUGCUGCCGCGGCCCUGUCGUCCCGCCGUGACACCGUCUCCAGGCUGCGGGGUGAUUUCUGCUGCACCCCUCAGUGCUUUCACUGAUGAAUAAUUCUCCCUCGAAACCACCGUGAGACGACCCUCAGCCGUGACAGAGAGGCUCAGCCAGAGGAGGCCAUUGUGACAGGCUGUGCCUGUGACUGCAGACAUCCCUCAGCAACGUGGCAGGCAAGAGUGACCAGCAUUGACUUCCUUAAACACAACCUCUUCUCAAAUGCCUACUGCCAGCAUCUUGAUGCAGCUCUCAGCUCUGAUGCCUCCUGGAGAGGUGCUAGUGACAGAUCAUGAAAAAUGCUUUGGAUGUGGAUGAAGAGAACUCAAGGUCUGUUACUUACACUGAAUUGAUCCACCUUUGUGUACGUGAAUUAAGGGAACAGUGGAUAGUGAUUAUGUAGCUGGGAUCUCCAUUUUUCCCAGGGCUUGCUUUGCCCUUUUGUGUCUGGGCCACUCUCACCUCAUCUCAUUUAAUCUGCAAUAACACAACAUAGUUAAGCACUAAGAUUCUCAUUAAUUACAGACCUUGCAGAUGUGGAAAAGCUAUUUCACUUCUCCCUCCUGGCAUGGUUUAGUAAGUCACUACCCAGACCUUGCCCAAGCAAUUUUUUCCCUUGUAAGAUGAAGGACUAAAAUCAUUAGAAAUCACAGGUGAUGGUCAGCACUCAGUCACCAUUUACUGUGAAAUGGCUGAAAUAGUGGUCACAGAAUCACCGAAUUCUUAGGGCUGAAAGGGACCCCUGGAAAUUAUCCAGUCCAUUCCCUCCUGCCCAGGCAGGGCUACCUAGAGGUGACACAGGAAUGCAUCCAGGUGGGGUUUGAAUGUCUCCAGAAAGAAAAACUCCAUGACCUCCCUGGGCAGCCUCUUCCAGUGCUCUGCUGCCCUCAGUGUAAGGAAACUCUCCCUCGUGUUGAGGUGCAAGUUCUUGUGUUUUAGCCUAUGGCCUUUUCUCCUCCUCCUGGGCACCACUGAAAACAGUCUGGCACCAUCCUCUUGGCACCCACCUUUGAGAUAUUUAUAUGCAUUAGUGACAUCCCGUCUGUCUUCUCUUCUCUAGACUAAGCAGGCUCAACUCCCUCAGAUGCUCCUCAUAAGAGAGAUGCUCCAGAACCCUCAUCAUCUUUAUGGCUCCCCACUGGACCCUCUCCAGUCACAUCUUGUCUUUCUUGUACUGAGGAGCCAGAAGUGGACACAGCACUCUAGAUGUGGUCUCACUAGGACUGAGUAAAGGGUCAGGACCACCCCCCCUUACCUGCUGGCCAUGAUGCCUUAAGAGGCCUUCUAGAAACAGAGACUAGACAGGAGUAAGGGA